GGUAAUCGGGAGAAUCGGGAGAGUUCCCGGUGGGCCGCUUCACUUCUGGGCCGGUCGAGAAUUUUAUUUGUUGACAUUUGUCACGUUAGUCCAUCUUCUCUUAAAGUGGGCUACACAUGUUCCGCAUUCUGACACCGCAGCCUCUACAUGGGUUGUACCAUGCGAGGAAGUUCACCCCUCCCAAAUAAUAGAGUUGGUUCGGUCCUUAGCCGUCUUUUCCAAAAAGUUUUAUCUAUCAGCUACGGAUAGCUGGGCCGGCCCGACCGCAACAAUACGCGUCAGGGAGGAUGGACGGGAGGAAGAGGGCCGGAGGGGCUGAAAAAGCCAGGUUGAAAAAAAGAAAGGCAUUGGAGGAGGAUCCUGCCAAAUGUGCCAAGCUUACAGAUUUAUUUUCAAGAGGACAAACACAAGUGGCAACUGCUUUGGAGCAGCAGAUAAGAGUCUCCUGCUGAAAAUGAUGAGCCUGACAUUUGCAAUGAGGAGGCCAUGACUACAGGGACAGGUAGAGAGGAUAACAGAGGAAACUAUAUUAAUUAAAGUUAUAUAUUCUAGAGCAGUAUAUGACAGUACUUGAUAAACCAAUAUGCAUUGUUUGCUCAGAAGUGGGUGUAGUAAAGGAGUAAAUCACCACUUUAUAAUACUCAUGCAGAAAAAUUAUAAUGACCAUGACAAUGACGGCCCCCAUGAGGUCUCACUCCAACAAAUCUGGCCUACUGCCUCAUCUGAGUCUGAAACCCCUGCUAUGCUAUUCUGCCUUUUUUAAUGUUAUGCAUAUUUUUUGUUAACUUCUCAUCUUAAGUGGAUUAUUAUUGUUGUAUUUAACCUUUACAUUAUUUGUUGGACCAUGGUAUUAAUAAAAGAACGACAGGAUAGUAAGAGCUGAA